rnacentral:rRNA from 1 species
GAAAGUAGGAAAGGGCGCAUGGCGGAUGCCUUGGCUCUCGGAGGCGAUGAAGGACGUGAUAAGCUGCGAUAAGUCACGGGGAGGUGCAAAUAACCUUUGAUCCGUGAAUCUCCGAAUGGGACAACCCGAUAUCCUGAAGGGAUAUCACCUUACAUAGUAAGGAGCUAACGCAGGGAACUGAAACAUCUUAGUACCUGCAGGAAAAGAAAAUAACAAUGAUUCCCCCAGUAGUGGCGAGCGAACGGGGAAUAGCCCAAACCAUUCAUGUUACGGCAUGGAUGGGGUUGUAGGACCACGGCGUUGCAAGAGAUCUUGUGAGAAGAACAGCCUGGAAAGACUGACCAGAGACGGUGACAGUCCGGUAUUCGAAGCAAGACGAAGCAUAGUGGUAUCCUGAGUAGCGCGGAACACGAGGAAUUCUGCGUGAAUCUGCCGGGACCAUCCGGUAAGGCUAAAUACUCCCGAGAGACCGAUAGUGGACCAGUACCGUGAGGGAAAGGUGAAAAGCACUUCGAACAGAAGAGUGAAAGAGUACCUGAAACCGUGCGCCUACAAGCGGUCGGAGCACGAAAGUGUGACGGCGUGCCUUUUGCAUAAUGAACCUACGAGUUACCGUAUCUGGCAAGGUUAAGGGUCACGAGACCUGCAGCCGAAGCGAAAGCGAGUCUGAAGAGGGCGUCGAGUCAGUUGCGGUAGACGCGAAACCAAGUGAUCUACCCUUGGCCAGGAUGAAGUCUGGGUAACACCAGAUGGAGGUCCGCACCAAUAAGCGUUGAAAAGCUUCUGGAUGAGCUGAGGGUAGGGGUGAAAGGCUAAUCAAACUUGGAGAUAGCUCGUACUCCCCGAAAUGCAUUUAGGUGCAGCCUCGCGGGUUACUGAUGUGAGGUAGAGCGACUGAUUGGAUGCGAGGGCUUCACCGCCUAUCAAGUCCUGACAAACUCCGAAUGCGCAUCAGUUUUACCGCGGGAGUGAGGGCAUGGGUGCUAAGGUCCGUGCCCGAGAGGAGAAGAAUCCGGACUAUCAGCUAAGGCCCCGAAAUGACAGCUAAGUUAAACUAACGAAGUCUGAUUGCUAAGACAGCUAGGAUGUUGGCUUGGAAGCAGCCAUUCAUUUAAAGAGUGCGUAACAGCUCACUAGUCGAGGAAUCGGGCGUGGAUAAUAAUCGGGUAUUAAGUUGUCUGCCGAAGCUAUAGAAUCAGCAAUGAUUGGUAGGGGAGCAUUCCAUUCGGCGUUGAAGGCGUGGCGUGAGCCAUUCUGGAGCGUAUGGAAAAGCAAAUGUAGGUAUAAGUAACGAUAAAGGGGGUGAGAAACCCCCUCGCCGAAAGACUAAGGUUUCCUGAUCAACGCUAAUCGGAUCAGGGUAAGUCGGGUCCUAAGGUUCAGCCGAACGGCGAGACCGAUGGCAGAAACGGUUAAUAUUCCGUUACUACCUUUGAGGGUGACGUGGGGACGCAGGAGUGACACCGCCGCCGGCUGACGGAAUAGCCGGUUAAAGAGUGUAGACGUUGAUUUCCGCAGGCAAAUCCACGGAAAGAGUCGAACUUGACAGUAUGGAACGUCCUUCGGGACAAUCCAAUAGUGCGGGUAAGCAGACUGCCGAGAAAAUCCGCUAAACAUAACUUCAGAGGUACCCGUACCGCAAACGGACACACGUAGUCGGGUUGAAUAUACUAAGGCGCUUGAGUGAUUCACGGUUAAGGAACUAGGCAAACUGACCCUGUAACUUCGGGAUAAAGGGUCCCUACCCAGAAAUGGGAGGGCGCAGAGAAUAGGUCCAGGCAACUGUUUAACAAAAACACAGGGCUGUGCCAAUAUGAAAGUAGACGUAUACAGCCUGACACCUGCCCGGUGCUGGAAGGUUAAGAGGAGAUGUCAUCGCAAGAGAAGCAUUGAAUUGAAGCCCCAGUAAACGGCGGCCGUAACUAUAACGGUCCUAAGGUAGCGAAAUUCCUUGUCGGGUAAGUUCCGACCUGCACGAAUGGUGUAAUGAUCCGGACGCUGUCUCAACCGUGAGCUCAGUGAAAUUGUAGUAUCGGUGAAGAUGCCGAUUACCCGCGAUGGGACGAAAAGACCCCGUGAACCUUUACUAUAGCUUAGCAUUGAAUUUGGGCACGCGAUGUGUAGGAUAGGUCGGAGGCAAUGAAUCGGGCACGCCAGUGUUCGUGGAGCCGCUGUUGAAAUACGACCCUUCGUUUGUUUGAGUUCUAACUUCCGGAUAGAAGGACAUUGCUUGGUGGGUAGUUUGACUGGGGUGGUCGCCUCCAAAAGCGUAACGGAGGCUU